AGGAGGGUGUUUGUGUCAGGGAGGCGGGGAAGGAUUAAAGUUUCCACAGCUCCCUCAGGCCUGGCAAGCUGAGGGGCGACGAAGGUUCCCCGGGAUGGCGGAGCAUUGGAGGGCGCCCGGUAAUGUACCAGGGGCCCGACCGCUCAUGAGCUUGUAGUUCCCAGGGCAGCGGACUUCGGAGGUUAGGUAGGGCUAGGCUGGGUUCAAAGGGAAGAAGGCCCCGGCCUGCGGGCGGCCACCGCAAGGACUGCUCGGGAACAUCCUGGUCCCGGCGCAGAGCGGCACCGAAUUCCCUGAGCGAUCUGGCGGCCUCUGCCACAGCUGGAGUUUUCGGCGGACACAAUAUCUUUGUUUGUAUGUGGUGCUGAGGAUCGAACCCGGGCCGCACGCAUGCCAGGUGAGCGCGCUACCGCUUGAGCCACAUUCCCAGCCCCAUAGCAACUUCUAUAAACGGAUUUUUCUUUCACUUUUUUAAAUUUGUGCCUUAUUGUUGUAAUGAUUUGUUUCAUAUUCAUACACGCACACAACAUAACUGGACCAAUGUCACUCCCCAGCAUUUCCCCCUACAUCAGGAAUCUUGAUUUACAGAUAUCAGACUUACAUUGGCUGAUUUAAGCAAAGAGGGAUUUAUUAAGGGUAUUAGGCAGCUUACAGACUUAGGACACAGGUUUGAGGAACAGUUCCAAGCCAUAGAAUGGAUCUCAUCUGGUAACUGCUUAAAAAAAAAAAAAAAAGAAGAAGAAGGGCUGGGAUUGUAGCUCAGUGGUAGAGUACUCGCCUCGCAUGCGAAAGGCACUGGGUUCGAUCCCCAGCACCACAUAAUAAAUAAAUAAAAUAAAGAUAUUCUGUCCAUCUACAACUAAGAAGAUUUAAAAAAAAAAAAAGAAAUUGAAAAUAAAACUGCUGCCACUGCCAACAAAUACUAUAAGCCAGGAUUUAGACUCAUCUCUAACAGUUACUGCUAGUGGCACUAAAGCUUGUUCUACAUCAAGAAAGUGACUUUCCCUCUCCCCAACCCCAAAACCAAGCACAUCCAAAGCCUCACAUGGAUGUGUCUCAUCAAAGGAUCUUAAAUGACAUGUCAGUGUUCUUACAUCAGUGGAGGCUGAGAAGUUGACUGACACUGAUAUUGGGGAACAGGUUUGACUGCAGAGAAUUUCCUCAGAUGUACAGUCUCUUCAAGAUGUCCCUCUGUACUUACGACCAUAUUACUGUGAAAGAGUGGAAAGAGCACAAAGGUCCAGUCUAGUCUGGAUAUGGUUACAUGGUCCCCCACCCCGCCCUCGCAGUUCUGGGGCUUGAACCCAGGGCCUUGUGCAUGCUGGGCAAGAACUCUACAUCUCUAGCACUUUAUUUUGCCAUAGAGUGCCACUAAGUUGCACCACCUGGCCUCAAAUUUGCCUCCUGAGCAACUGGGGUGAAAUGUAGGUUCAGAGGUAGAGUCCAGGAGAGCCAGACACCUGUGAAAACACCUGUGAGCAACGUUAAAUGAAGAGCUCCUGGCCACUGUAGAAAAAUAGCAUGUGUAUAAGGGGUGGAGACAAAGGAAAUUGAAAUACUUGCAACUUUAGAAGGCUGAAUUUGCUUGGAGAUUUUUCUCUCUCAAACAUUUAUGUGUUUACAGUUGGAAGAAAAAUUCUUUAUGCAGAAUCUUGAACUUUUCUUUUGUUGUACUAGGAAUCAAACUCAGGGGAGCUUUACCUCUAAGCUACAUCCUCAGUCCUUUUUAUUUUGAGGAAGGGUGUAAGUUGAUGAGGGUCUCCCUAAAUUGCUGAGGCUGGCCUUGAACUUGUGAUCCUCCUGUUUCAAAAUCCUAAGUCACUGGGAUUGCAGGUUUGCUCCACCUUGCUUGUCCUAGAAUCUUGAACUCCUUAGAAAGAUGCUCUUAAAAUCAAAUGGCUUUCCACCUCCCAACCCCAGCAAUCUGUUUUUUCUACUGUGUGGCAGACUUUGAACUCCUGCUUAACAGCCAUUUUUCUUUCUCCCAGCAGUGUUCUGAUUUAGUUCAGGAUGGCCUUUUCCCCAGCUCCAGGAAGAAAUCCUAACAGGUCUAUUCCAAUUUUAGUGGGCCAGUUCUCCUUGCAGGGGUUUUGUUUAGGGCUGGAUGUGUGACUUCUUUCAGACCAGGGAUUAGUAAGAGAUCUGCUUGCUUGGGGCGGGGGGCGGGUCAGGGAAGAAUUCCUCACCCUGACCCAUAUUUUUUUUUUUGGAGCAUUAUAAUUAUAAUGGUGAAAUUCAUUAUAUAUCAGGCUGGGGUUGUGGCUCAGUGGUGGAGCGCUUGCCUAGCAUGUGUGAGGCACUGGGUUCAAUUCUCAGCACUGCAUGUAAAUAAAUGAAUAAAAUAGAGGUCCAUCAACAUCUAAAACAAAAAAAAAAUUCAUUAUAUAUCUAUACAUGCACAUAAUAUAACAAAAUAAUUUGGCAAGGAUUCCUUAUUGUUAAGGAGGCAUUGAAGAGAUGCACAUCCUUCUCUGGAUGUUGUGAGGUCUGGAUAGGAAACCUGGAACUGCUGUGCCCAUCUUUCUCCCAGUUGAUGACAAGGCCAAAUCCCAGAGAAGGACAAAGCAAAGAAUGCCCAAGAAGACUACUGAUGUGAAAUGAGGAGUGUCCUUAUGGUUUAAACAGGAUCAUCUGGGGGUUUUUUUGCAGCCAAAUACAUCCUAACUACCAUCUCUCACUUAUUUAUUUUUAUGUGGUGCUGAGGAUUGAACCCAGGGUCUCGAACGUGCGAGGCGAGCGCUCUACCACUGAGCUACAACCCAGUCCCUGGGAUGGAAUUUUUUUUUUUUUAGAAUUUUUAAUAUUUAUUUUUUAGUUUUCGGCGGACACAACAUCUUUGUAUGUGGUGCUGAGGAUCGAACCCAGGCCGCACGCAUGCCAGGCGAGCGCACUACCGCUUGAGCCACAUCCUCAGCCCCCUUAACUACCAUCUCUCAACAGGGCGUGGUACCAAGAUAUAUUUCUUGGGUUUUGAUCCUGAGACAGUGACUUAAGAAGAGCUGGGGGUAGGCUUCAUCUGUUUCUCUGUCCUUUGUGCCUGGCCAUUUUCAUCUGUAGGCCUCUGAAAUAUAUAUAUAUAUAUAUUUUAGUUUUUGACAGACCUUUAUUUUAUUUGUUUAUAUGUGGUGCUGAGAAUCGAACCCAGUGAUUCACACAUGGUAGGCGAGCACUCUACCACUGAGCCACAACCCCACCCUUAAAACUAUUUUUUAAAUUAAUUUUUUAAUUUUUCCUAAUUAGUUACACAUGACAAUCAUUUAUGUACUUUGAUAUACAUAAAUGAAAUAUAAUUUCUCAUUUUUCUGAUUGUACAUGUUGCAGAAUCACAUCGGUCAUGCACGCAGUACACUUGAACUACUAAUCAGUCUUCCCAACUGAAGGGGCCAGUAUUAUGGUACUAGACUCAAUAUAUGCAAAACAGGGCUCAUUUUUCUCCCACACUCUCCUCCCUUACCCCUGCUAUUACUGGGUAUUGUAGGAUUGAACCCAGGGCUACUCUACCUCUGAGCUCCACCCCCAGCCGUUUUAAUUUUUAUUUUUGAGAGAGGGUCUCACUAAGUUGCCUAGGCUAGCCUCAGAUUUGGGAUCCCCCUGCUCAGCCUCACAAGUCGUUGGGAUUACAAGCACAUGCCCGCCACACCUGGCUUCUGACACUCUUAUACAUUAAAUAAAAGGCAAUACCACACUCUCUUCCCCUUUUCCCACACCUAACCCAGUACCCAGACCUGUAGGUUUCCUCCCCACACUAGAUCUCAAAUGUGACCAUUUGUCACCCUUACCACUGUUAACACUGUGGUUCAUUUUGGGAUCGUCCAUCAUCUAGGUUACCUCAAGAGCUCUCUAGUAGGUCCUGUAGGCUCUGUUCUUAUUCUUAAUAUCUGUCAAGUCCACUCUCCACACAGUCUUUAAAAUGUGGUCGGGGGUUGGAGUGUAGCUCAGUGGUAGAACACAUGCUUAUCAUGUGCAAAGCCCUAGGUUCAAUCCCCAGCACUGUAAGUAAAUAAACAAACAUCCAUCUUACCUGAGUAAUUUUUCAUUGCACUUAGAAUGAAAUCUAAAUUUCUACUUUAAAUGUGUGAGUUGCAUCUCAGUGGGAGCAGGUGAUAGAUGAAUUAUAUCUUAAUAUGGCUGGUGUCAACACACAAUCAAGACUCUUCCCUGUGGCUGCAUAUCUGGCCCCUGCCCACCUUUGAAUCUAUCUAAUAUCACUCAUUUCACUCACUCUCCCCGCAGCCAGACAGGUCAUCUGUUUUACAAACAUCCUAAGAUUGUCUCCCCCCAGGAUCUUUUUUUUUUUUUUUUUAAUAUUUUUUUAGUUGUAGUUAGACACAACACCUUUAUUUCACUUGGAUCGAGCCCAGGGUCUCACACGUGUGAGAUGAGUGCUUGCUGAGCCACAGCCCCAGACCAUUCCCCCAGGAUCUUUGCAAAUGUUCUUCCCUUUCCUGGAAUGCUGCCCCCAGCUUUCCCCAUGGCUUGUCCUCAUUCAACAGUCUACCUGGGACGACAUCACUUCUUACCUCAAGUAGCCCUCUUGUCAGUUGUCCUUUGAUUUUUUUCAUAGCACCUAGAUAUCCCAAAUUACUAGCUUGCUUGGUUCUGUUUCUGCUAUCCUGUCUCACCAGCUUAUGACAACAAGAAUUUAUUGUUUAACAAUAGUGACGUUUAGAUGAACAAAUCAUUCAAUGAAGAAAUGACUUGUAUCAAUCAGUUGAGCCUUUCUGUUGGGCUUUUAAGUUUCUUGAUGUUUUUAAUGGAAAACAAAAUUUGUAUUCAUAUCCACUUUGUAAAUAAAAAUGAUUUGCUGCAUCUA